AUUGAACGCUGGCGGCAGGCCUAACACAUGCAAGUCGAGCGGAGCGGCGGACGGGUGAGUAAGGACUAGGAAUCAGCCUGGUAGUGGGGGACAACUUCCGGAAACGGGCGCUAAUACCGCAUAAUAUCAGAUGAGCCUAGGUCGGAUUAGCUGGUUGGUGGGGUAAAGGCAUACCAAGGCGACGAUCCGUAACUGGUCUGAGAGGGUGAUGAGUCACACUGGAACUGAGAAACGGUCCAGACUCCUACGUGAGGCAGCAGUGGGGAAUAUUGGACAAUGGGCGAAAGCCUGAUCCAGCCAUGCCGCGUGUGUGAAGAAGGUCUUCGGAUUGUAAAGCACUUUAAGUUGGGAGGCGUUACCAACAGAAUAAGCACCGGCUAACUUCGUGCCAGCAGCCGCGGUAAUUC
rnacentral:rRNA from 1 species